rnacentral:ncRNA from 1 species
AGUUCUUGUAUUGUCUGAACGGAUGCUUUCCCAUAUGACUUAGUACCAAGAAUCGUUGCUCUUUUAUUAUCCUGCAAUGCACCAGCAACAAUUUCAGAUGCAGAAGCUGAACCCUCGUUUAUAAGUACAACUAGUGACAUUCCAUUUGAUAUAUCUCUAGCUGUUGCCUCGUAUUUUAAUUCAGAGUUCGAUGAUCUUCCUUUAGUCUCCACAAUUUUACCAUUUUGUAAAAAUAAAUCGCUUAUUCCAACUGCAGCACCUAGAACACCACCAGGAUUAUUUCUUA